rnacentral:rRNA from 1 species
CCUACGGGUGGCAGCAGUGGGGAAUAUUGCACAAUGGGGGAAACCCUGAUGCAGCGACGCCGCGUGAGUGAUGAAGUAUUCCGGUAUGUAAAGCUCUAUCAGCAGGGAAGAUAAUGACGGUACCUGACUAAGAAGCUCCGGCUAAAUACGUGCCAGGAGCCGCGGGAAUACGUAUGGAGCAAGCGUUAUCCGGAUUUACUGGGUGUAAAGGGAGCGCAGAGGGCAGGGCAAGUCUGUUGUGAAAGUCCCGGGCUCAACCCCGGGACUGCAUUGGAAACUGUCCGGCUAGAGUGCAGGAGAGGUAAGUGGAAUUCCUAGUGUAGCGGUGAAAUGCGUAGAUAUUAGGAGGAACACCAGUGGCGAAGGCGGCUUACUGGACUGUAUCUGACGUUGAGGCUCGAAAGCGUGGGGAGCAAACAGGAUUAGAUACCCCAGUAGUC